GACGGAGGGUGCGAGCGUUGUUCGGAUUGACUGGGCGUAAAGGGCGUGUAGGCGGUUGGUCAAGUCUGAUGUGAAGCCCGGGGCUCAGCUCCGGAAGUGCAUCGGAAACUAGCUGGCUGGAGCGCGAUAGAGGAGGGUGGAAUUCCGUGGUGUAGCGGUGAAAUGCGUAGAUAUCAGGAGGAACACCGGCGGCGAAGGCGGCCCUCUGGAUC
rnacentral:rRNA from 1 species